rnacentral:rRNA from 1 species
AGAGUUUGAUCCUGGCUCAGGACGAACGCUGGCGGUGUGCUUCACACAUGCAAGUCGAACGGGGUAGCAAUACCCAGUGGCGGACGGGUGAGUAACACGUGGGAAUCUGCCUUGAGAUGGGGGAUAGCAGACCGAAAGGUCUAUUAAUACCGCAUAUGUGUAUGUCUCGACAGGGGCAUACAUGAAAGGAGCAAUCCGUCUUAAGAUGAGCCCGCGUCCGAUUAGCUAGUUGGUAGGGUAAUGGCCUACCAAGGCGACGAUCGGUAGGUGGUCUGAGAGGAUGAUCACCCACAAUGGGACUGAGACACGGCCCAUACUCCUACGGGAGGCAGCAGUGGGGAAUUUUGUGCAAUGGGCGAAAGCCUGACACAGCGACACCGCGUGAGCGAAGAAGCCCUUUGGGGUGUAAAGCUCUGUCAGCUGGAACGAAACAAAUGACGGUACCAGCAGAGGAAGCAUCGGCUAACUACGUGCCAGCAGCCGCGGUAAGACGUAGGAUGCGAGCGUUGUCCGGAUUUAUUGGGCGUAAAGAGUUCGUAGGUGGUUUGUUAAGUUCGAUGUUAGAGAUCGAGGCUCAACCUCGGGAGUGCAUUGAAUACUGGCAGACUUGAGUGCGGUAGAGGCUAGUGGAAUUCCCAGUGUAGCGGUGAAAUGCGUAGA